rnacentral:rRNA from 1 species
AACGGCCAUACCAUGCUGAAUAUACCGGUUCUCGUUAGAUCGCCGAAGUCAAACAUCAUUGGGCGCCGGUCAGUACUUGGGUGGGUGACCACCUGGGAACACCGCGUGCCGUU